ACCCGGAGAACUGAAACAUCUUAGUACCCGGAGGAAGAGAAAGAAAAUUCGAUUCCCUUAGUAGCGGCGAGCGAAACGGGAAGAGCCCAAACCAAAAAGCUUGCUUGUUGGGGUUGUAGGACACUCUAUACGGAGUUACAAAGGACGACAUUAGACGAAUCAUCUGGAAAGAUGAAUCAAAGAAGGUAAUAAUCCUGUAGUCGAAAAUGUUGUCUCUCUUGAGUGGAUCCUGAGUACGACGGAGCACGUGAAAUUCCGUCGGAAUCUGGGAGGACCAUCUCCUAAGGCUAAAUACUCUCUAGUGACCGAUAGUGAACCAGUACCGUGAGGGAAAGGUGAAAAGCACCCCGGAAGGGGAGUGAAAUAGAACCUGAAACCGUGUGCUUACAAGUAGUCAGAGCCCGUUAAUGGGUGAUGGCGUGCCUUUUGUAGAAUGAACCGGCGAGUUACGAUUUGAUGCAAGGUUAAGCAGUAAAUGUGGAGCCGUAGCGAAAGCGAGUCUGAAUAGGGCGUUUAGUAUUUGGUCGUAGACCCGAAACCAGGUGAUCUACCCUUGGUCAGGUUGAAGUUCAGGUAACACUGAAUGGAGGACCGAACCGACUUACGUUGAAAAGUGAGCGGAUGAACUGAGGGUAGCGGAGAAAUUCCAAUCGAACCUGGAGAUAGCUGGUUCUCUCCGAAAUAGCUUUAGGGCUAGCCUCAAGUGAUGAUUAUUGGAGGUAGAGCACUGUUUGGACGAGGGGCCCCUCUCGGGUUACCGAAUUCAGACAAACUCCGAAUGCCAAUUAAUUUAACUUGGGAGUCAGAACAUGGGUGAUAAGGUCCGUGUUCGAAAGGGAAACAGCCCAGACCACCAGCUAAGGUCCCAAAAUAUAUGUUAAGUGGAAAAGGAUGUGGCGUUGCCCAGACAACUAGGAUGUUGGCUUAGAAGCAGCCAUCAUUUAAAGAGUGCGUAAUAGCUCACUAGUCGAGUGACACUGCGCCGAAAAUGUACCGGGGCUAAACAUAUUACCGAAGCUGUGGAUUGUCCUUUGGACAAUGGUAGGAGAGCGUUCUAAGGGCGUUGAAGCAUGAUCGUAAGGACAUGUGGAGCGCUUAGAAGUGAGAAUGCCGGUGUGAGUAGCGAAAGACGGGUGAGAAUCCCGUCCACCGAUUGACUAAGGUUUCCAGAGGAAGGCUCGUCCGCUCUGGGUUAGUCGGGUCCUAAGCUGAGGCCGACAGGCGUAGGCGAUGGAUAACAGGUUGAUAUUCCUGUACCACCUAUAAUCGUUUUAAUCGAUGGGGGGACGCAGUAGGAUAGGCGAAGCGUGCGAUUGGAUUGCACGUCUAAGCAGUAAGGCUGAGUAUUAGGCAAAUCCGGUACUCGUUAAGGCUGAGCUGUGAUGGGGAGAAGACAUUGUGUCUUCGAGUCGUUGAUUUCACACUGCCGAGAAAAGCCUCUAGAUAGAAAAUAGGUGCCCGUACCGCAAACCGACACAGGUAGUCAAGAUGAGAAUUCUAAGGUGAGCGAGCGAACUCUCGUUAAGGAACUCGGCAAAAUGACCCCGUAACUUCGGGAGAAGGGGUGCUCUUUAGGGUUAACGCCCAGAAGAGCCGCAGUGAAUAGGCCCAAGCGACUGUUUAUCAAAAACACAGGUCUCUGCUAAACCGUAAGGUGAUGUAUAGGGGCUGACGCCUGCCCGGUGCUGGAAGGUUAAGAGGAGUGGUUAGCUUCUGCGAAGCUACGAAUCGAAGCCCCAGUAAACGGCGGCCGUAACUAUAACGGUCCUAAGGUAGCGAAAUUCCUUGUCGGGUAAGUUCCGACCCGCACGAAAGGCGUAACGAUUUGGGCACUGUCUCAACGAGAGACUCGGUGAAAUCAUAGUACCUGUGAAGAUGCAGGUUACCCGCGACAGGACGGAAAGACCCCGUGGAGCUUUACUGUAGCCUGAUAUUGAAAUUCGGCACAGCUUGUACAGGAUAGGUAGGAGCCUUUGAAACGUGAGCGCUAGCUUACGUGGAGGCGCUGGUGGGAUACUACCCUAGCUGUGUUGGCUUUCUAACCCGCACCACUUAUCGUGGUGGGAGACAGUGUCAGGCGGGCAGUUUGACUGGGGCGGUCGCCUCCUAAAAGGUAACGGAGGCGCUCAAAGGUUCCCUCAGAAUGGUUGGAAAUCAUUCAUAGAGUGUAAAGGCAUAAGGGAGCUUGACUGCGAGACCUACAAGUCGAGCAGGGUCGAAAGACGGACUUAGUGAUCCGGUGGUUCCGCAUGGAAGGGCCAUCGCUCAACGGAUAAAAGCUACCCCGGGGAUAACAGGCUUAUCUCCCCCAAGAGUUCACAUCGACGGGGAGGUUUGGCACCUCGAUGUCGGCUCAUCGCAUCCUGGGGCUGUAGUCGGUCCCAAGGGUUGGGCUGUUCGCCCAUUAAAGCGGUACGCGAGCUGGGUUCAGAACGUCGUGAGACAGUUCGGUCCCUAUCCGUCGUGGGCGUAGGAAAUUUGAGAGGAGCUGUCCUUAGUACGAGAGGACCGGGAUGGACAUACCUCUGGUGUACCAGUUGUCGUGCCAACGGCAUAGCUGGGUAGCUAUGUGUGGACGGGAUAAGUGCUGAAAGCAUCUAAGCAUGAAGCCCCCCUCAAGAUGAGAUUUCCCAACUUCGGUUAUAAGAUCCCUCAAAGAUGAUGAGGUUAAUAGGUUCGAGGUGGAAGCAUGGUGACAUGUGGAGCUGACGAAUACUAAUCGAUCGAAGACUUAAUCAA
rnacentral:rRNA from 15 species